CCAUGUUUGUACUGUUGCAAUGUCACCAAAUGAAACCAAAUAAUUAAUACCCAUUAAAAUAUUCUUUUAAACAUAAUAAGUCUUUUCUUUUAAGCAAUGAAAUUAUAAAAAAUCACACUUAAAUGAUUUUGAUCGAUAACAAUCUUUAAUUUGCGGUGCACAACACACACACACACACACCCUGUCUCUCUCUCUCUGCCCUAUCUCUUCAUCUCUCAAGUUAUGAAGAGAGUAGCAAUCUUUCAAUGUUUUUCCGUCUUAUAGAAAAUCGAACGUGGUCUUCUAUUUGAGGUAGUUUUUGUAAGAGUUCGGUUUCAUCUCCAUAAACUAUGGGUAGACUUUAAUACUUGUAUGGUAUCAUUGGAAUGAAUCUCAGAUAUGCCCAAAAGGUGGUUUUUGUAAGAGUUGGCUUCAUCGAUUGUAAAUUAUGGCGAGAAUUUCAUACCCAUAUAAAAUCUUUGUAAUGAAUCUCAGAUCCGCCUAAAAGGUGUUUGUUUGAUGAUGAAACCUCUUAUUAGAUUAUUGCUCCCUCAUAAACAAAUGACCAGCACAACCAGCAUUAUGUCAGACUCAUCCUCUACACUAAAAAAAAAUUGUUGUUGAUGCAAUUCAUGUUGAUAGAAAGAUUUUUGAACAGUUACAGGUGUUAAUCCUUCUACUACUUUUACAAGGUAAAACCUAUUUGAAUCGAUCAUUAUCAUAUAUUUGAAGUUUUGAACUAAUGAUUUUCAAUUUUUACAGCAAAAGAAAAGAGAGAAGCCCUUUGAUGUCAUUAAGAUUUAUUGUUGUAUAGGGUACACUUUCCGAGUUUCUGAUGGGAAGGUAGUGGCUGUGAAGCAACUUUCAGUAGCAUCUCACCAAGGGAAGAGUCAAUUUGCUGCAGAAAUUGCUACCAUAUGUAGUUGCAACAUCGCAAUCUAGUGAAAUUAUUUUGCCAGUUGCUGACAAUUACAUUGGAGAUAGGUCAACCACCACUCCAUGCAAUUAGACCUUCUUGUGAAGGUGCAUGAAUCUUGAUGAGGAAACGUUUCACAUUCAUCAUGGAUUAAAUGAAGACUUUUAUAUAUUCAGAUUUAUAAUUAGCAGUGGGCAGUUGCUUAAGUAGGUAUUUUUGUUGUAAUAAUGAACUUUUCUAAAUUGAGUGUGUGAAUAUAAUUGUGUUUUAUGCAGAAGUGUUCAAUUUUGAGUCA